UUAAAAAGCCUGAUAUUUAGAAGAAAUAUGACUAUGAUACUUUUUAUCAAUCUUUAAUUAUUCGAAUCCAAAGCCACAGGCGAGGUUGUGUACCGAGCCAGUGCUGAGGGAAUUCGGAGAGAAAUGCAAGUCUUAUGCGCUGGCGGUUGUCUUUACGCCGCUGGUCACCGGACAAGCGACAGUUGAUAAAAAUUUACAUUUUUUUUUUUGUAGAAUGAGAAACUCUAUGUAUUAUGUCACUAUUAUAUAUUAACAUAUUACUUAUUUUGCCAGACGUUUUGCUGGAAUGGUGGCUGGUAUAUUGAGAUCGGAUCCUGAGGUGCUCCAUGUGGAUAAAAGCUUCUACGUUGUAUUAUCAGCCAUGAGUUUAGGACUAUGGAAAUACGAUAUAUUCCUCCUGUCACUAUACUACAAAGUGUAUGUGAUCAGGUAAAGUUUGCAUGAUUAAUGAGAAUAAUUAUGGUAUCACAGAAAAGGCAGGUAAUAUCUUAAGGACUUUUUUGGAUACAGUAUAUUCACAAGAAAUAAAAGGAUUCAGUA